ACCAUACUGUUGUAUUCAUUUUUUAGAUGAAUGAUGAUGAUGAAAGGAUAACCAAUGUUAGAGGAAGAUUGUGAGGAUACAUCAGUUUGAUUUAAGUGCUUACCAAGGGAAUUAAGAAGAUUGCAUCAAUUCCACAUCCUUGGCUUUGGGAGGAAAGAGAGAUCAAAUUGCUCGAAGAUUGCAUCAAUUUCAACAAGCUUGCAGCAUAGGAAAUUUUCAAGUAAUAUGUUGGUUAUCUUGUUUAUGGUUGGCUACCUUUGGUAACAUUGGGCAUCUGGGUACUAUAUGAAUCCAUUGUAAUUCUUGCAACCCUUUCAUGUAAUUUGUGUUUUCAAGUUGUUUCAAAAGCUGUAAUGAAUAAUUGCCCGAUUGAAUUAAUAUGGUUAAUUACAUUGGUAAUAUUGAAGUUUUAGAUUA